CACUAAGAAGUUAAGUCAUAUGAAAUAUGGUGAAAAGACAGUUAAGUAUUAAAUUUAAGAAGGUUGUUUAAUGCAGCAUAUAGAGGUAAAAUUUAGGUAUGUUUGUAUAAAUCUAAAAUAGCUUUGAAGCUGAAUCUGUGAAGUCCUUGAGGGAAACUGGGAUUAGGUACCCCACUAUUCUAGGAUGUAAAAUGGAGUAAUUUUACCAGAGUACUAUGAAUGUUGUAAAUUUAAAACUCAAAGAACUUGGCGGUGUUUUAGACCAUUUAGGGGAACCUGUCUCGUAAUCGACAAUCCGCGUUAUACCUGACCUUUCUUUGUUUUUCAGUAUGUAUACCGUUGUCGUCAGGUAACUUUUUAGAAAAAGGGAGUUGGCUGGGAAAAUAAGGUAAUUUAAUACGUCAAAUCAAGGUGCAGCUAAUAGAAAGGGGAGGAUGGGUUACAGUUAUAUAAUUAUAAUUACGAAUAAUUAUAUGGAAAGUGUAAAUUAUGAAGGUGGACUUGAAAGUAAAUUGGGUUAUAAGGAUAAUUUGAAUAAGGCUCUGAAACGUGU
rnacentral:rRNA from 1 species